rnacentral:rRNA from 1 species
UACAGAGGUCUCAAGCGUUGUUCGGAUUCAUUGGGCGUAAAGGGUGUGUAGGUGGCGCGCUAAGUCGGGUGUGAAAUUUCGGAGCUUAACUCCGAAACUGCAUUUGAUACUGGCGUGCUUGAGGACUGGAGAGGAGACUGGAAUUCAUGGUGUAGCAGUGAAAUGCGCAGAUAUCAGGAGGAACACCGGUGGCGAAGGCGGAUCUCUGGGCCGUAACUGACGCUGAGGAGCGAAAGCAUGGGGAGCGAACAGG